CGUAGGGGGCAAGCGUUGUCCGGAUUUAUUGGGCGUAAAGAGCGUGUAGGCGGCCAGGUAGGUCAGCUGUGAAAACUCGAGGCUCAACCUCGAGACGCCGGUUGAAACCAUCUGGCUAGAGUCCGGAAGAGGAGAGUGGAAUUCCUGGUGUAGCGGUGAAAUGCGCAAAUAUCAGGAAGAACACCCGUGGCUAAGGCGGCUCUCUAGUACGGUACUGACGCUGAGACGCGAAAGCGUGGGGAGCGAACAGGAUUAGAUACCCUGGUAGUCCACGCCGUAAACGAUGGGUGCUAGGUGUGGGGGGUGUCGACUCCCUCCGUGCCGCAGCUAACGCAUUAAGCACCCCGCCUGGGGAGUACGGCCGCAAGGCUA
rnacentral:rRNA from 1 species